CCUCACCUUCUGAGCUACUCAAGAGAUGGGGGACAGGAGCAGUACUGCCAAGAACAGUUGUGCAAGUUGCACACUGCACAAGCAUACCAGACAGAAGCUAGAGCAGAAGCUGACGUCGUCUGUUCCCCUCACCACACAUUGCAUCUGCCCAGAGGAAGAGGUGCCGUGCUGGGCAGUGAAUGAAUGAACCUUGCCCUGGGUUUAACACUCCAGUGGGAUGAACAGACAAACCCCACAAGCACUGCAUACGGCUUCAUGUCCAUUUUGGGUCGUUGCAAGGAGGUUCUGCUCAUCAUAGUCUCCGAUGGAACAGCCACAUUCUGGAACAUUAUGAAACAUUGCUUGCUGUCACGCUGGAAGGAAGAAAGGCAAGAGCAGGAAAUAUCUGGCCAACAGAACGAAUGGCGUCCAACUAACAGCAUCUUGUGAAAAUAAAAUGAGUUAAUGAAAGUUAACUCACU
rnacentral:lncRNA from 1 species